rnacentral:rRNA from 1 species
UGACGUCAAAUCAUCAUGCCCCUUAUGACCUGGGCUACACACGUGCUACAAUGGUUGGUACAACGAGUUGCGAGUCGGUGACGGCGAGCUAAAUCCUCUUUAAAAGCCAAUCUCAGUUCGGAUUGUAGGCUGCAACUCGCCUACAUGAAGUCGGAAUCGCUAGUAAUCGCGGAUCAGCACGCCGCGGCGAAUACGUUCCCGGGCCUU